UGAUAUUCUGAUUGACAAAAUAAUCAAUCAAAGUAACAAACUAACAAAAAUUUUCAACAAAUUUUAACAAAAUAAUGUAGAAAUAAGUCAAACAAAUCAAAAACCCUGCCAUUAUUUUGCACCCAAAAUCCCAUUGUUCACCAAAAACUCGAGCUUCACUUUACCUUGCUGCAAAGAUUACAUGAGCUUUGAGUCUACCUAGGGCAAAAGAUUGCUUGAGCUUCAAAUCUGCAGAGAUGGAAGAAUCGCGGUGGACGAGUCUCCUAUCUCUAUGGCCAGAGGAUGAGGACCAGGACAAAGGACGAUGCCGAGAAGAAAGAAUCGCGAUGGCCAGGGGACAGCGAAGAGUCGUCCGGCCAGAAGGAAGGGGAGAAUUGCCAAAAACCUAGGGCAAAGCCCUUCGGCCAGAGGCAGAAGGCCAAAGC
rnacentral:misc_RNA from 1 species